GCCGGCGUAGCUCAGUGGUAGAGCAAUCCCUUCGUAAGGGAAAGGUCGACGGUUCAAAUCCGCCCGCCGGCU
rnacentral:tRNA from 1 species